rnacentral:lncRNA from 1 species
GGGCUAGGAGAAGGGAAUCCAAUAUUUUUUUCAAAUGACAGAUGCAGCAGCUAGACCAGGUUAUAUUGUAGCUGUCGCUCAUAUUCGACGCAAGUGUGGACGUGGUUGAGAUGGUCAGCGCUCUUUGCAUCCCGCUCCAGGUCCUGCCUUCGACUCACCGCAGCGUCACCUCCACAUCCCUGGUUUGUUCAUUUUUUUUCUUAUUUCGUUUUGGUUUUUUUUUUUUUCUCUUUUUUUUUUUUUCCUGUUUCUGUUUUAUGUUCUUUUUUUUUUUUUUUUUUCUUAUUUAUUUUUCUCUCCUAAUUACUUCUUUAGUUGUUUCCUUUGUUUAUUUUCAACACCUUGGGGACAAAGUGUGAUUUAAGUUUGGGGGUGGGAAAGUAAAUUUUAUAUUUUUCAUUUUUUUUGAGUCUUGUUUAAAAAUUUUCGUUUUUUUUUCAGUCAAUAUCCAUAGAUUAUUUUAAACGUUAGAACAAAUAGACAUGGUGAAAAUCAAUCCCACAGUAGAGUCUUUUCUAUUUAUUGUUGCUUAGACACUAAUUCAUGAAUUAUACUUUGAAAUUUGCACAUCACACCAACAUGGUUUUUUUGGGGAGUGAGAUUGGAAUACUUACUUUUUGUCCAAGUGUGUUUUAAUUUCUGUUCAAUAUAAAUAAAGUUAGUAUGUGUUAUAAAGUAAUAAUUGCCUCACCCGAAACUUUGCUAGUAACCGGGCCAGUCCUGCCUAAUCAGCAGUGAUUCUCGAGACAAAAGGUAGAGUUUUGGCAUGAGGCAGGGUGGUUAGUUGGUUUCGUAGCCUUUUCAGCUUGAGUUAAUAAGUCUUUAGGGGUGUUCUACACCUAGUGCCCUAAAACCCGAGUGGUUUGGGAGACAUUGACCUAAAGUUGGCUACACGGUUGGAUCGAAAGCUUAAGGGAACCAACAUUGCACAACCACUACUGUUACUAUAAAAGAAAAAAAAAAGUGUGAAGUAUGAAUAAAAGGGAUGAGAGUUAAGGGUUUUAGUCGAGUCUCCAUAACCAUAAUGGUUCACUUUACACCGAAAGAAGUUUGUGAAUUCUUUUCUAAUUGAGUCUAAAUAGCUUAGACUUUGUGGUGGGAUUAGUUGGAUCUAUUGAAAGGAUGUUCUAGUUUUUAAAAUUUUCUAUGGAUUGCAACUUGAAGAUGGAAAUUUUGUCCUAGUUAAGUGUUAGCCAGAUGUCUAAUCUGUUAAGUUUUUAUUUGAGUCUUGUUUCGCUUGAGGACAAGCAAAAGCUAAGUUUGGGGGUAUUUUGAUGGACAUAUUUUAUAUUAUAUAUUUAACCUCAUUCUUAGUAUAUUUUGGUUAAUAUCUUGGAAGAAUUUUGAUACUUUGAAUUAUAUUUCCAAUAUAGGACUUUCGACUCUCUCUAGAGCAAAACAUAAUCAAAUUGAGGAAUUUUG